rnacentral:rRNA from 1 species
AGAGUUUGAUCCUGGCUCAGGAUGAACGCUGGCGGCGUGCUUAACACAUGCAAGCCGAACGAACCUUCGGGUUAGUGGCGGACGGGUGAGUAACGCGUGAGAAUCUGCCCUCAGGAGGGGGAUAACGGCUGGAAACGGCCGCUAAUACCCCAUAUGCCGAGAGGUGAAAUGAAUUUCGCCUGAGGAUGAGCUCGCGUCUGAUUAGCUUGUUGGUGUGGUAAAGGCUCACCAAGGCAUCGAUCAGUAGCUGGUCUGAGAGGAUGAUCAGCCACACUGGGACUGAGACACGGCCCAGACUCCUACGGGAGGCAGCAGUGGGGAAUUUUCCGCAAUGGGCGCAAGCCUGACGGAGCAACGCCGCGUGAGGGAUGAAGGCCUCUGGGCUGUAAACCUCUUUUAUCAAGGAAGAAGAUCUGACGGUACUUGAUGAAUAAGCCACGGCUAAUUCCGUGCCAGCAGCCGCGGUAAUACGGGAGUGGCAAGCGUUAUCCGGAAUUAUUGGGCGUAAAGCGUCCGCAGGCGGUCUUGAAAGUCUGUUGUUAAAGCGUGGAGCUCAACUCCAUUUCAGCAAUGGAAACUAGAAGACUAGAGUGUGGUAGGGGCAGAGGGAAUUCCCGGUGUAGCGGUGAAAUGCGUAGAUAUCGGGAAGAACACCUGUGGCGAAGGCGCUCUGCUGGGCCAUAACUGACGCUCAUGGACGAAGGCCAGGGGAGCGAAAGGGAUUAGAUACCCCUGUAGUCCUGGCCGUAAACGAUGAACACUAGGUGUCGGGGGAAUCGACCCCCUCGGUGUCGUAGCCAACGCGUUAAGUGUUCCGCCUGGGGAGUACGCACGCAAGUGUGAAACUCAAAGGAAUUGACGGGGGCCCGCACAAGCGGUGGAGUAUGUGGUUUAAUUCGAUGCAACGCGAAGAACCUUACCAGGGUUUGACAUCCUGCGAAUCCCUUGGAAACUUGGGAGUGCCUUCGGGAGCGCAGUGACAGGUGGUGCAUGGCUGUCGUCAGCUCGUGUCGUGAGAUGUUGGGUUAAGUCCCGCAACGAGCGCAACCCACGUCUUUAGUUGCCAGCAUUAAGUUGGGCACUCUAGAGAGACUGCCGGUGAUAAACCGGAGGAAGGUGUGGAUGACGUCAAGUCAUCAUGCCCCUUACAUCCUGGGCUACACACGUACUACAAUGCUACGGACAAAGGGCAGCAAACUCGCGAGAGCUAGCAAAUCCCAUAAACCGUGGCUCAGUUCAGAUCGUAGGCUGCAACUCGCCUACGUGAAGGAGGAAUCGCUAGUAAUCGCAGGUCAGCAUACUGCGGUGAAUACGUUCCCGGGCCUUGUACACACCGCCCGUCACACCAUGGAAGUUGGCCACGCCCGAAGUCGUUACUCCAACCCGCAAGGGAGGAAGAUGCCGAAGGUGGGGCUGAUGACUGGGGUGAAGUCGUAACAAGGUA